AUUCAACUGACGAGUCCCAAAUAGGACGAAAUGCGCGUCAUGGAU
rnacentral:hammerhead_ribozyme from 1 species